ACAAAUGCCCUGCUUCCAGGAAAAGCCUCUAAGCAUCAGGUAACAUCAAAUCGUACCCCAAACCGACACAGGUGGUCAGGUAGAGAAUACCAAGGCGCUUGAGAGAACUCGGGUGAAGGAACUAGGCAAAAUGGUGCCGUAACUUCGGGAGAAGGCACGCUGAUAUGUAGGUGAAG
rnacentral:rRNA from 1 species